rnacentral:rRNA from 1 species
GAUGAACGCUGGCGGCGUGCCUAAUACAUGCAAGUCGAGCGAACAGACGAGGAGCUUGCUCCUCUGACGUUAGCGGCGGACGGGUGAGUAACACGUGGAUAACCUACCUAUAAGACUGGGAUAACUUCGGGAAACCGGAGCUAAUACCGGAUAAUAUAUUGAACCGCAUGGUUCAAUAGUGAAAGACGGUUUUGCUGUCACUUAUAGAUGGAUCCGCGCCGCAUUAGUUAGUUGGUAAGGUAACGGCUUACCAAGGCGACGAUGCGUAGCCGACCUGAGAGGGUGAUCGGCCACACUGGAACUGAGACACGGUCCAGACUCCUACGGGAGGCAGCAGUAGGGAAUCUUCCGCAAAGGGCGAAAGCCUGACGGAGCAACGCCGCGUGAGUGAUGAAGGUCUUCGGAUCGUAAAACUCUGUUAUUAGGGAAGAACAAAUGUGUAAGUAACUAUGCACGUCUUGACGGUACCUAAUCAGAAAGCCACGGCUAACUACGUG